rnacentral:tRNA from 1 species
AAGGCUUUAAGUUAAGUUAAACUAUUAACCUUCAAAGUUAAAAAUAAAUAUUAUUUAAACCUUA